UUAAUUGAAGCCAAAAAGAGGCUUAUCACUGUUAAUGAUAGAAUUGAAGUAAAUCCUCCAAUUAAA
rnacentral:tRNA from 1 species